rnacentral:pre_miRNA from 1 species
AAUGUACUCCUUCCGUUCGGAAUUACUUGUCGUGAAAAUGGAUGUAUCUAGAUGUAUUUUAGUUCUAGAUACAUCCAUUUCCGAGACAAGUAAUUCCGAACGGAGGGAGUAGAAA